rnacentral:lncRNA from 1 species
AAAAAAAAAAAAAAAAAGUGCUUACCUUAGCUUCUGACUCUGAUACAACCUUGGUCUUUUUGCUCUCCAGGUAGAGUUUCCACAGGGACAUGGGAUAUUUCUGGAUGCCUGUGUAGAGUUAGCUGUUACUCCAGCCAGGCAUGCUGCCUAAAGAUCUUGAAGGAUAUGGAUGUUUCUGCUGUGGAAGAAAACUGCCUAUUAUGCAAAGUAACGUGGAAUCUUUGUCUGAAGAGACGCUCAUAUAUUUGUGCUUUUGAAGGAACACAGAUUUCUAAGACUCCCACUAUUUUACGGAGCCCUCUCCUGCUCCAUCAAGGCCUGAAUGCAGACAAGGUUUCUAAUGAACUUCCUGAACACUGAACCUGUGAUCUGUAGGAAUUGCAAAUGCACGCGAU